rnacentral:rRNA from 1 species
GACGAACGCUGGCGGCGUGCUUAACACAUGCAAGUCGAACGGAAAGGCCCUGCUUUUGUGGGGUGCUCGAGUGGCGAACGGGUGAGUAACACGUGAGUAACCUGCCCUUGACUUUGGGAUAACUUCAGGAAACUGGGGCUAAUACCGGAUAGGAGCUCCUGCUGCAUGGUGGGGGUUGGAAAGUUUCGGCGGUUGGGGAUGGACUCGCGGCUUAUCAGCUUGUUGGUGGGGUAGUGGCUUACCAAGGCUUUGACGGGUAGCCGGCCUGAGAGGGUGACCGGCCACAUGGGUACUGCGGUACGGACCAGACUCCUACGGGAGGCAGCAGUGGGGAAUAUUGCACAAUGGGCGGAAGCCUGAUGCAGCAACGCCGCGUUCGGGAUGACGGCCUUCGGGUUGUAAACCGCUUUCGCCUGUGACGAAGCGUUAGUGACGGUAAUGGGUAAAGAAGCACCGGCUAACUACGUG